CAGUCGCCGCGGGAAUACAGAGGGUGCGAGCGUUAAUCGGAUUUACUGGGCGUAAAGCGUGCGUAGGCGGCUUUUUAAGUAGGAUGUGAAAUCCCUGAGCUUAACUUAGGAAUUGCAUUCGAUACUGGGAAGCUAGAGUAUGGGAGAGGAUGGUAGAAUUCCAGGUGUAGCGGUGAAAUGCGUAGAGAUCUGGAGGAAUACCGAUGGCGAAGGCAGCCAUCUGGCCUAAUACUGACGCUGAGGUACGAAAGCAUGGGGAGCAAACAGGAUUAGAUACCCGAGUAGUCCCUGUCUCUAUACA
rnacentral:rRNA from 1 species